rnacentral:rRNA from 1 species
GACGAACGCUGGCGGCGUGCCUAACACAUGCAAGUCGAACGAGAUCCAUGGGAGCUUGCUCCCGGAAGAUCUAGUGGCGAACGGGUGAGUAACACGUGAGAAACCUGCCCUGGAGUGGGGAAUAACUCGGGGAAACUCGAGCUAAUACCGCAUACCCUCGGAUGGUCGCAUGGCCGACCGAGGAAAGAUUUAUCGCUCUAGGAGGGUCUCGCGGCCUAUCAGCUAGUUGGUGGGGUAACGGCCUACCAAGGCAACGACGGGUAGCUGGUUUGAGAGAACGAUCAGCCACACUGGGACUGAGACACGGCCCAGACUCCUACGGGAGGCAGCAGUGGGGAAUCUUGCGCAAUGGGCGAAAGCCUGACGCAGCAACGCCGCGUGCGGGAUGACGGCCUUCGUGGUUGUAACCGCUUUCAGCAGGACGAAAAUGACGGUACCUGCAGAAGAAGCCCCGGCUAACUACGUGCCAGCAGCCGCGGUAAU